rnacentral:rRNA from 1 species
UAAGGAAUAUUGGUCAAUGGACGCAAGUCUGAACCAGCCAUGCCGCGUGAAGGAUGAAGGUCCUCUGGAUUGUAAACUUCUUUUAUCUGGGACGAAAACGGGAUUUUUAUCUCAAUUGACGGUACCAGAGGAAUAAGCACCGGCUAACUCCGUGCCGGCAGCCGCGGUAGUACGGAGGGUGCGAGCGUUAUCCGGAUUUACUGGGUUUAAAGGGUGCGUAGGUGGGCUUAUAAGUCAGUGGUGAAAUCUCCGAGCUUAACUUGGAAACUGCCGUUGAUACUAUAGGUCUUGAAUUAUCUGGAGGUAAGCGGAAUAUGUCAUGUAGCGGUGAAAUGCUUAGAUAUGACAUAGAACACCAAUUGCGAAGGCAGCUUACUACAUAUAAAUUGACGCUGAGGCACGAAAGCGUGGGGAUCAAAC